CAGCCGCCGCGGUAAUACCGGCGGCCCGAGUGGCGGCCACUAUUAUUGGGCCUAAAGCGUCCGUAGCCGGGCUGGUAAGUCCCCCGGGAAAUCUGGCGGCUUAACCGUCAGAAUUCCGGGGGAUACUGCCAGCCUAGGGACCGGGAGAGGCCGGGGGUAUUCCCGGGGUAGGGGUGAAAUCCUGUAAUCCCGGGAGGACCACCUGUGGCGAAGGCGCCCGGCUGGAACGGGUCCGACGGUGAGGGACGAAGGCCAGGGGAGCGAACCGGAUUAGAUACCCGGGUAGUCCCAGCAGUAAACGAUGCCAGCUAUGUGUUGCUGAAACCAUGGGUUCCAGCAGUGCCGAAGGGAAGCCGUGAAGCUGGCCACCUGGGAAGUACGGUCGCAAGGCUGAAACUUAAAGGAAUUGGCGGG
rnacentral:rRNA from 1 species